UGGGGAAUAUUGGACAAUGGGCGAAAGCCUGAUCCAGCCAUGCCGCGUGUGUGAAGAAGGUCUUCGGAUUGUAAAGCACUUUAAGUUGGGAGGAAGGGCAGUAAGCGAAUACCUUGCUGCUUUGACGUUACCGACAGAAUAAGCACCGGCUAACUCUGUGCCAGCAGCCGCGGUAAUACAGAGGGUGCAAGCGUUAAUCGGAAUUACUGGGCGUAAAGCGCGCGUAGGUGGUUCGUUAAGUUGAAUGUGAAAGCCCCGGGCUCAACCUGGGAACUGCAUCCAAAACUGGCGAGCUGGAGUAGGGCAGAGGGUGGUGGAAUUUCCUGUGUAGCGGUGAAAUGCGUAGAUAUAGGAAGGAACACCAGUGGCGAAGGCGACCACCUGUGCUCAUACUGACACUGAGGUGCGAAAGCGUGGGGAGCAAACAGG
rnacentral:rRNA from 1 species